CAAGGGAAUUAGCUACAUACUCUAUCCGUAGUUAAUCAACGACAGUUUAUUGAGGGAUCAGCAACGGAAAGCACAAAAAUUUCAAUCAAAAUAAUUAUAGAGUUUUAGAGAGGCAUUAACGAAGGAUUUACAACGGAUUGGUAAGAUCUUAUCGACAAAAAUUGUCUCUCACUAAACCCUCAGAAAGUAAAACCUCUUAAUAAGGGAACAACGACGAAUUGCAAAAAGUAGAGGCUUUUUUUUUCCUGGCCCUCGCCAAACCCUUGCAGAAAAAACUUUUCCUGCUUUUUUUUUUCUUUACCUCGUUUUAUUUUUGUUCCCUCCUAUUUCUUCCAAAAGCCAACAAUUUCCUCUCAAAGCCCUAAAUGAUAGUCAAAUCUCUCCUUCGCCCUUGUAAUCGCCUCCACCACAAUCAACCUGCAUCGCCAUCUUCGAAGCCUCUCAAAGGAAAACCUAAUCCGAAAUCACAUCCUAACUGGCUUUCUCGUUGACUUGCCUCUCAAUUCCAUGCUGAGUCCGAUCUAUUGAUUCAUCCUUUAUUGUUGCUUCAGAUCGUACAUCUGCUUAGCAGCAACAGCGACGUCGAUCACCUGACAGGUAGCAGCAUCGGUUCUGUUGGCAGUGGUUGGAACACUGUGGUGGUCAUCCCAUUCAAACACUUGUUCGUACAAAUUUGAUUAACCUCGAGGAAGCUUAGAUAAAAUUGAAAGCAUGGUACUGACAAAUUCAAAGAUAAAAAAAUAUCGACAACAUCCAUCCUAGUUUCCUGGUCAGCCACGCACCUCUGAACAUUUUCAGGUUAUUGUGGAAAUUGUUCCUAUAAACAUUAUCACAAACCGAGAAUUACAUGGCCAUGGUCAAUGUUUCUAGUCUGUGUUUCAUGAAAACACCAAAAAAUAUUGAACAUAAAGCAUAUAGAUGGGCUCUUUUUCAAAUAAAUUUAACUCUUGCAACAAGCUGGUGUUUGCAAGUGGAUCUUUGAUGAGAUGCCUUUCCGUUAUUAGGACAAGAUUCCUCCAAUUGAUUAUAUGGUGAAAACUUCAUCAAAUAUGCAGUUAUACCCUUCAAAAGAUCAUCUUUACCUUCCACUUUCGCUAUUGAAGUCCGUACUAAAUGAGCUCACACAAAAUAAUGUCAGGUUCCAAGUCAAUCAAGGGAACACCAUAUUGGAUGGCUCCUAAAUUUAUACUUCAAACUGGUCAUAGCUUCUAUGCUGACAUAUGGAGUCUUGGGUGUACGAUAAUUGCGAUGGCUAUAGGAAAGCCUCCCUGGAGCCAACAAUAUCAACAAUAGGUUACAGCUCUGUUUUAUAUUGGCACUACAAACUCUCAUCCACCUAUUCCUUACAAUUAUUCUUUCGAGGCACAAGAUUUACUUCUCAAAUGCUUACACAAGUACAUACAUGAUACAUCUAAUCAUUUUACUUUUUCAUUUAUUUCAAUCCAUAUAAUGGGGGCAUUUUAGUCUUUAAAUAAAAAAAGAAAGAAUAGAAUCAAAUUCCUUUCACCAGCCUCUAGGAAUGUUGAAAUUCAUAGAACUUAACACAAACACACCAUUGCUAGAAUCCACAAAGGAAGCAUGCCUUUAUAUAUAUAUAUUUAUUCCAAUCCGUAUAAUGGGGGUAUUUUGGUCUUUGUUUUUUCACCUUGUUUCCAGUUACACUGAGUUGGUUAUAUUUCAGGGAACCUGAGAUGAGGCCAUUUGUUUCUGAUUUGCUGCAGCAUCCUUUUGUUACAGGGAAAUCUCAGCCAAAUUCUCAUGUUGUUGCUCCAACAAUGCAGGUUGUGUAUGAACGUAUACGAGAAGAGAUGUGUGGGUAGAUGGACACUAAAGUUGCAAAAAAUGGAAACCAGACAUCAAAAAAUGUGUGAGGAAAAUAUGAUCUUUUUGGAUGCUUUGGUAAAUUUUAAUAUUUGAUGUUUUUGGAUGAUUUGGUAAACAUCGAUAUCUAUGUUGUUGGAUGAUUUGAUAGUUUUUAGCAUUGUAAUGUUAAUGUUUAGUCUUGGGUAUUAUAAUAUAUAUUUUUUUCUAUUA